AUGUGGAAUCAAAACAGGGUAAAGCAAAUAGAACAAAGGAUAGUGAAGAGGCUUGCCAACUUUAUCAUCAACUAUUAGUAGGAGUGACUAGGUUUAUACAUGAUCUGAUCAUAUAUGCUUUGCAUUAUUGGACGCAGGAGGCUAUCAACAGGAAUAUGCGCAUUCACAAGUCUUCCAGUCGAAACAUGUUGCGUUGUAAAGCUGCCAAUAUUUGGAAUGACACAGUACCUUGCAGUCGUUGGGGUUGCAAGAUUUUUCUGGUCCUAUGCUCAUAUCAAGCUUGUCAUAGCACGUUACCUCUCUACAACUCACUCCACCUGCAACGUUAA
rnacentral:lncRNA from 1 species